GAUGAAGAACGCAGCGAAAUGCGAUAAGUAGUGUGAAUUGCAGAAUUCAGUGAAUCAUCGAAUCUUUGAACGCACAUUGCGCCCCUUGGUAUUCCAUGGGGCAUGCCUGUUCGAGCGUCAUCUACACCCUCAAGCACUGCUUGGUGAUGGGCGUCUGUCCCGCCUCCGCGCGCGGACUCGCCCCAAAGGCAUUGGCAGCGGUCCUGACCGCCUCUCGCGCAGCACAUUUGCGCUUCUCGAGGCAUCGGAGGCCUGCGUCCACGAAGCCCAUCUUUAUCUUUUUGACUUCGGAUCAGGUAGGGAUACCCGCUGAACUUAAGCAUAUCAAUAAGCGGAGGA
rnacentral:misc_RNA from 1 species